GGGGAGCAAACAGGAUUAGCUACCCUGGUAGUCCACGCUGUAACACGAUGGAUGCUAGCCGUUGGACAGCAUGUUGUUCAGACACGCAGAUUACGCAUUAAGCAUCCCGCCUUGGAAGUACGGCAGCAAGGAUGAAAUUCAAAGGAAUUGGCGGGAGCCCGCCCCACCGGUGGAGCAUAUGGUUUAAUUCGAGGCAAUACAGAAGAACCAUCCCAGCCCUUGACACCUCGUCGCGGAUUCAGAGAUGGGUCGCUCGGUUUUAGCGGACGGUUACAGGGGGGGCACGGUCGUUCUUAUUUCCUGUGAAAAGAGGUUGACAAAAGUACGGCAGUGAGCGCACCCCUGGUCCUGAUUUGUCAGCAUAAGUUGGGCACUGCAAUAUCCCUGCCGGUGAUAAGCUGGAGGAAGGUGGGGAGGGUGUCAAGUCAUCAUGGGGGGUCACCCUUUCAGGCCCCCUACCUACAAUGGUGGUGACAGUGGGCACCACUCAACGAGGAGAUGGUAAUCAGCCCCCUCACCUCAGUUCGUAAGUUUCUCACAACUCGGGUGCCAGAGUGAGGAAUCGGGGGUAAUCGUGGAUCAGCAUGCCGCGGUGAAUACGUUCCCGGGCCUUGUACCCACCGCCCGUCACACCAUGGGAGUUGGUCUUACCAGAAGAAUCCGCCCCAACGUUUUGGAGGCACACGUCCAGGCACGAUCCAGACUCAUCGAAGUCCUAACAAGG
rnacentral:rRNA from 1 species